GCCUGGGUGGCUGAGUCUGUUAAGCAUCUGACUUCGGCUCAGGUCAUGAUCUCGCGGUUUGUGGGUUCGAGCCCCGCGUCGGGCU
rfam:Felis catus isolate Cinnamon breed Abyssinian chromosome D4, whole genome shotgun sequence.